AUCCAGCUGACAAGUCCCAUGGAGGACGAAACGCACGUCCUGGAU
rfam:Schistosoma mansoni, Puerto Rico, WGS project CABG01000000 data, contig: 0126